rnacentral:rRNA from 1 species
ACGGCCGUACCAUGCUGAAUAUACCGGUUCUCGUUAGAUCACCGAAGUCAAACAUCAUUGGGCGCGGUCAGUACUUGAAUGGGUGACCACCUGGGAACACUGCGAACUGUU